AUGGAUGCAGCGAUGCAGACUUUCAAGAAGGGGUGCAUAUGGAGAGUUGGAGAUGGUCUGAAAAUUAAUGUUUGGGAUGAUUGUUGGAUCCCAAAUAGUCCCUGCAGGAAAAUAACAACACCCCAUGGUAAUCGAGUUUUAUCCUAUGUCAAUGAACUUAUUGACCCUAUAACAGAUCAUAUCAUGCAAAUCCCAUUGACACAAGAUGAAAUGGAGGACAGUGUUGCUUGGCAUUAUACCAAGAAUGGAGUAUUCAGUGUUCGAUCAGCAUAUUACAGAGAAUGGGACGAUCAGUUUGGGGACAAGAUUGCAAGCACAGAUGGCAGUCUAGCUCAUAGAAUCACCCUGUGUGGGGAAAGGUUUGGAAUUUGA
rnacentral:rRNA from 1 species